GACGAACGCUGGCGGCGUGCUUAACACAUGCAAGUCGAACGGAAAGGCCCUGCUUUUGUGGGGUGCUCGAGUGGCGAACGGGUGAGUAACACGUGAGUAACCUGCCCUUGACUUUGGGAUAACUUCAGGAAACUGGGGCUAAUACCGGAUAGGAGCUCCUGCUGCAUGGUGGGGGUUGGAAAGUUUCGGCGGUUGUGGAUGGACUCGCGGCUUAUCAGCUUGUUGGUGGGGUAGUGGCUUACCAAGGCUUUGACGGGUAGCCGGCCUGAGAGGGUGACCGGCCACAUUGGGACUGAGAUACGGCGCAGACGCCUACGGGAGGCAGCAGUGGGAAAUAUUGCACAAUGGGCGGAAGCCUGAUGCAGCAGCGCCGCGUGCGGGAUGACGGCCUUCUGGGUGUAAACCGCUUUCGCCGGUGACGAAGCGUGAGUGACGGUAAUGGGUAAAGAAGCACCGGCUAACUACGUG
rnacentral:rRNA from 1 species